rnacentral:lncRNA from 1 species
CAACUGAUCUCAAAAGUCUAAUCUUUGUGUCACAGUUGCAAGGAACCCAGUUUAUCGAAUGUCUUAUGUAAGCAGUAAUCAGGGACGAUUAGAUUCUUGGCCACUUGUGACAUCGAGUUGCGAUUUGGUUCUCACGCCUAGCGCUUCGGUUUUAAACUCGUUUUUUUAGUAUGCGACCCACUGAUUUCUGAACUUGAUGUGGCUGAUGCACAGUCGGUAUGUUUUGUAGCAGAAGCUACAGUUGUAUAUGAUUUUCAUUCACAUCGACAAAUGCGUCCACCAAGAUCAAACAUGAUAUUUAGGGAAUUGCGACUGAACUUCAGC